GUGCAUUCUUUAACCCUCCUGGUACUGUUGCUGUUAUAACUUCCAGGAUAAGGAUGAAUGCAAGAGAAAAAUGUAGAGUUAUCCAAAAUGCAGAAUGAUCUUUUAUAGUUCUGCAUUAUUUCAGCUCUUCAACAAGAAAUGU
rnacentral:snoRNA from 1 species